AGUGAACGCUGGCGGUAGGCCUAACACAUGCAAGUCGAACGGCAGCACAGGAGAGCUUGCUCUCUGGGUGGCGAGUGGCGGACGGGUGAGGAAUACAUCGGAAUCUACUCUGUCGUGAGGGAUAACGUAGGGAAACUUACGCUAGUACCGCAUACGACCUACGGGUGAAAGCAGUGGACGUUCGGGCCUUGCGCGAUUGAAUGAGCCGAUGUCGGAUUAGCUAGUUGGCGGGGUAAAGGCCCACCAAGGCGACGAUCCGUAGCUGGUCUGAGAGGAUGAUCAGCCACACUGGAACUGAGACACGGUCCAGACUCCUACGGGAGGCAGCAGUGGGGAAUAUUGGACAAUGGGCGCAAGCCUGAUCCAGCCAUACCGCGUGGGUGAAGAAGGCCUUCGGGUUGUAAAGCCCUUUUGUUGGGAAAGAAAUCCAGCUGGCUAAUACCCGGUUGGGAUGACGGUACCCAAAGAAUAAGCACCGGCUAACUUCGUGCCAGCAGCCGCAGUAA
rnacentral:rRNA from 1 species